AUGGACACACAGAUGAGGCUGGUAGUUCAGGCAGCAGCACUGAUUAUUGUGAUCCAGGCAUGGGUCAUGUUCAUGCACAGGAGAGUUGUUCGUCAUGGCGAGAGACUUGUCAUUUGUUAUGAUCCAAUGCUUAUGCGGGAGCAGGAGAGGAUCGCCAAUCUAAACUACUUCUAAAACUGCAAUGACACAGAGGCCCUGCGGAUGCUUUGAAUGAAAAGAGCACCAUUUGCCAGACUUGUCUAGACCUUCAUGAGCGGGCUGCUACAAUAUAGUAUCCACACCGAUGUGGAAGAGCAAGUGGUUGUGUUCCUCCAUGUUGUUGGCCAUAACUAGACGUUUAGGGUUAUACACAACACAUUCAGUAGAUCAAUGGAUAUCGUCUCAAGGUACUUCAAGAAAGUGAUAUAUGUUGUUAGGGAACUCAGGGGAGAGAUGAUCAAGUCACCAACCGGACGGACUCCUACCAAGAUUCGCACUAGUCCAAGAUGGUAUACAUACUUCAAGGUGAGCACUAAAAGUAUGUGCUUCAUUGCUUGA
rnacentral:rRNA from 1 species